rnacentral:rRNA from 1 species
GACGAACGCUGGCGGCGUGCUUAACACAUGCAAGUCGAACGGAAAGGCCCUGCUUGCAGGGUGCUCGAGUGGCGAACGGGUGAGUAACACGUGGGUGAUCUGCCCCUUACUUUGGGAUAAGCCUGGGAAACUGGGUCUAAUACUGGAUAGGACCAUGCUGUAGGUGGUGUGGUGGAAAGAUUAGUUUCGGUAAGGGAUGAGCUCGCGGCCUACCAGCUUGUUGGUGGGGUAAUGGCCUACCAAGGCGUCGACGGGUAGCCGGCCUGAGAGGGUGGACGGCCACAUUGGGACUGAGAUACGGCCCAGACUCCUACGGGAGGCAGCAGUGGGGAGUAUUGCACAAUGGGCGCAAGCCUGAUGCAGCGACGCCGCGUGGGGGAUGACGGCCUUCGGGUUGUAAACUCCUUUCAGCCAUGACGAAGCCCUUGUGGUGACGGUAGUGGUAGAAGAAGCACCGGCUAACUACGUG